rnacentral:rRNA from 1 species
AGAGUUUGAUUAUGGCUCAGGAUGAACGCUAGCGACAGGCUUAACACAUGCAAGUCGAGGGGCAUCAUGGAGUAGCAAUACUCUGAUGGCGACCGGCGCACGGGUGAGUAACGCGUAUGUAACCUGCCUGAUACAGGGGCAUAGCCCAUGGAAACGUGGAUUAAAUCCCCAUAUGGCUUAUAUGAGGCAUCUUUUAUAAGUAAAAUCUAUAGAGGUAUCAGAUGGGCAUGCGUCCUAUUAGUUAGUUGGCGGGGUAACGGCCCACCAAGGCGAUGAUAGGUAGGGGUUCUGAGAGGAAGGUCCCCCACAUUGGAACUGAGACACGGUCCAA